GGCCUCGUGGCCCAAUGGCAAGGCGUUUGACUACGAGAAGAACUUCCCAGCUUGAAAAGAAAGAUGGAUUAGUUCAAACAGUUAUCAAGAGAUUCUGGGUUCGACCCCCAGCGAGGUCA